rnacentral:rRNA from 1 species
ACAUGCAAGUCGAACGAACUCUGGUAUUGAUUGGUGCUUGCAUCAUGAUUUACAUUUGAGUGAGUGGCGAACUGGUGAGUAACACGUGGGAAACCUGCCCAGAAGCGGGGGAUAACACCUGGAAACAGAUGCUAAUACCGCAUAACAACUUGGACCGCAUGGUCCGAGCUUGAAAGAUGGCUUCGGCUAUCACUUUUGGAUGGUCCCGCGGCGUAUUAGCUAGAUGGUGGGGUAACGGCUCACCAUGGCAAUGAUACGUAGCCGACCUGAGAGGGUAAUCGGCCACAUUGGGACUGAGACACGGCCCAAACUCCUACGGGAGGCAGCAGUAGGGAAUCUUCCACAAUGGACGAAAGUCUGAUGGAGCAACGCCGCGUGAGUGAAGAAGGGUUUCGGCUCGUAAAACUCUGUUGUUAAAGAAGAACAUAUCUGAGAGUAACUGUUCAGGUAUUGACGGUAUUUAACCAGAAAGCCACGGCUAACUACGUGCCAGCAGCCGCGGUAAUACGUAGGUGGCAAGCGUUGUCCGGAUUUAUUGGGCGUAAAGCGAGCGCAGGCGGUUUUUUAAGUCUGAUGUGAAAGCCUUCGGCUCAACCGAAGAAGUGCAUCGGAAACUGGGAAACUUGAGUGCAGAAGAGGACAGUGGAACUCCAUGUGUAGCGGUGAAAUGCGUAGAUAUAUGGAAGAACACCAGUGGCGAAGGCGGCUGUCUGGUCUGUAACUGACGCUGAGGCUCGAAAGUAUGGGUAGCAAACAGGAUUAGAUACCCUGGUAGUCCAUACCGUAAACGAUGAAUGCUAAGUGUUGGAGGGUUUCCGCCCUUCAGUGCUGCAGCUAACGCAUUAAGCAUUCCGCCUGGGGAGUACGGCCGCAAGGCUGAAACUCAAAGGAAUUGACGGGGGCCCGCACAAGCGGUGGAGCAUGUGGUUUAAUUCGAAGCUACGCGAAGAACCUUACCAGGUCUUGACAUACUAUGCAAAUCUAAGAGAUUAGACGUUCCCUUCGGGGACAUGGAUACAGGUGGUGCAUGGUUGUCGUCAGCUCGUGUCGUGAGAUGUUGGGUUAAGUCCCGCAACGAGCGCAACCCUUAUUAUCAGUUGCCAGCAUUAAGUUGGGCACUCUGGUGAGACUGCCGGUGACAAACCGGAGGAAGGUGGGGAUGACGUCAAAUCAUCAUGCCCCUUAUGACCUGGGCUACACACGUGCUACAAUGGAUGGUACAACGAGUUGCGAACUCGCGAGAGUAAGCUAAUCUCUUAAAGCCAUUCUCAGUUCGGAUUGUAGGCUGCAACUCGCCUACAUGAAGUCGGAAUCGCUAGUAAUCGCGGAUCAGCAUGCCGCGGUGAAUACGUUCCCGGGCCUUGUACACACCGCCCGUCACACCAUGAGAGUUUGUAACACCCAAAGUCGGUGGGGU